GAAGCACACUUGAACGCUUGUGCUAUAAAGCUCAAUGAAACGAAACUUCUACUAACCAUAAUGAAUAAACACACUAAUACAUCGAAACACUGUCUGCCGUGGCUGUAAACGUCAAAAUCAAUAAGGUAAACAAAUCAACAUGGGUGGGAGUGAAAUUUUGUCUGCGGUUUUACGGCAACGAUUAAGUGGUGACUGUAUCACAGGGAUUAGCAGCUGUAGGUGGUUUCCGGAGUCAAUAGAUGGUGUCGAAUGGACUUGUUUUUGGACCUCUCGAUGGCAGUUUGUUCCCGUUUAUCAUAGGGAGGAUGAGUUCCAUAGAUCAGGUGAGUUAUUAUGCACAAACUAAUGCUUUUGAUUGAUUUUUAGGUGCUGAUCGGACUAUGACGAGGAAGGUAAAUCGAGUUGGGUGCUAUGCUACAUAAACAUUCAUACGAUGUCGCGCGACACGGGGUGUCCAUAAACGGCGAAACAUCUCAAGAUAACAAAAUCACGACCGAAAAAUACUUCAACAAAACACGCAGAACGCAGAAAAUAUCAAUACGCAGAUCCCAAAAUAUAAUUAAGUCAGCUUGAAUUUCUUAAUAUGUCUACACAAUGAACCAAAAACAACACGAAGU